rnacentral:rRNA from 1 species
UAACAAGGAUUCCCCUAGUAACUGCGAGUGAAGCGGGAAAAGCUCAAAUUUAAAAUCUGGCAGUCUUUGGCUGUCCGAGUUGUAAUCUAGAGAAGUGUUAUCCGCGCUGGACCGUGUACAAGUCUCCUGGAAUGGAGCGUCAUAGAGGGUGAGAAUCCCGUCUUUGACACGGACUGCCAGGGCUUUGUGAUGCGCUCUCAAAGAGUCGAGUUGUUUGGGAAUGCAGCUCAAAAUGGGUGGUAAAUUCCAUCUAAAGCUAAAUAUUGGCGAGAGACCGAUAGCGAACAAGUACCGUGAGGGAAAGAUGAAAAGAACUUUGGAAAGAGAGUUAAACAGUACGUGAAAUUGCUGAAAGGGAAACGCUUGAAGUCAGUCGCGUUGGCCAGGGAUCAACCUUGCUUUUGCUUGGUGUACUUUCUGGUUGACGGGUCAGCAUCAAUUUUGACUAUUGGAAAAAGGUCAGGGGAAUGUGACAUCUUCGGAUGUGUUAUAGCCCUUGGUUGUAUACAAUGGUUGGGAUUGAGGAACUCAGCACGCCGCAAGGCCGGGUUUUUAACCACGUACGUGCUUAGGAUGUUGGCAUAAUGGCUUUAAUCGACCCGUCUUGAAACACGGACCAAGGAGUCUAACAUGCCUGCGAGUGUUUGGGUGGAAAACCCGAGCGCGUAAUGAAAGUGAAAGUUGAGAUCCUUGUCAUGGGGAGCAUCGACGCCCGGACCAGACCUUUUGUGACGGUUCCGCGGUAGAGCAUGUAUGUUGGGACCCGAAAGAUGGUGAACUAUGCCUGAAUAGGGUGAAGCCAGAGGAAACUCUGGUGGAGGCUCGUAGCGAUUCUGACGUGCAAAUCGAUCGUCAAAUUUGGGUAUAGGGGCGAAAGACUAAUCGAACCAUCUAGU